CCUACGGGUGGCAGCAGUGAGGAAUAUUGGUCAAUGGCCGGAAGGCUGAACCAGCCAUGCCGCGUGAAGGUCAGUGCCCUAUGGGCGUUAAACUUCUUUUGUGCGGGAGCAAUAAUGGUCACGUGUGGCCAGACGAGAGUACCGUACGAAUAAGCAUCGGCUAACUCCGUGCCAGCAGCCGGGGUAAUACGGGGAAUGCAAGCGUUUUCCGGGUUUAUUGGGUUUAAAGGGUGGGGAGGCUGGGAGGUAAGUCAGCGGUGAAAUGCCCCCGCUCAACGGGGUGAAGUGCCAUGGAUACUGCCUUGCUGGAAUGCGGAUGCCGUGGGAGGAAUGUGUGGUGUAGCGGUGAAAUGCAUAGAUAUCACACAGAACACCGAUUGCGAAGGCAGCUCACGAAUCCGCGAUUGACGCUGAUGCACGAAAGCGUGGGUAUCAAACAGGAUUAGAUACCCGAGUAGUC
rnacentral:rRNA from 1 species